GACAGUGGAAAAUACCAAUGCUUUCUCUCAAGACCGAGGACCUACUGUUCUACUAACCUCACUGUUGUGACCGAAGGUCAACUGAACAGAAACGGCAAUGUUUCCAGCACGACCACACCUGUACUGGAUGAGCAGGACAAUCCUGAUGGUGAAAAGAGGAAGCUUAGUGCCACUGUUGGUGGUAUUUUCAUUCUUUGCAUUGUGGUUCUGGUUCUGGUGAAAUGUAGAACGAUUCACGGGGGCCGAGAUGGCACUGAUGCAGAGCUGACCUGGAUGGCCCUGAGGCAGACAACUUAGGAAACAACGUGCAUGGCCCGGACUUUGUCCCUAAUUUUGUGUAGUUUUUAGGUCACAAGAUUUUUUUUUAAAAGAGAUAAUAUAUAUUUUUUAAUUUAAGCAAAGUGCUGUUUAAAACUGGCUAAUUGUCUUUAUUGGGCUCAUCAGUGAUGAUAAAUUAUCUAAAGUCUGCAGUUUAUGAACAUUUAGUAUUAAAUAAAUUUCAGAUGGCGUGUUAUAUAUACUUACUUUUUUACUUAUACAAUACUUUUUUCCUGUGUCAUUCCACUUUUUUAUUAAUUCAUGUCAUUAAUGUUUGGAUUUCUUAAUAUGUAUGGAUUCAAGAACACCUAAUAUAUUUGUUGAUUAUACAGAAAAUGUAAUUUGAAAAAAAAAAAAAACAUUCACAGGGGACAUUUUUACAAAAUUACCAUCACAUAUGUCAGUUACUCUUAACCAUGUGACCUCUUCCAAAGAUGUGUAGGCUUCAUAUGGAACUAUAAAACACUACUUGAUGUAGAU